rnacentral:tRNA from 1 species
CGAGGGGCCUAAAAGACCUGCUAACUCUUUAAUCUGGAACUAAUAUCCAACCCC